GAAGGGGGCUAGCGUUGCUCGGAAUCACUGGGCGUAAAGGGCGCGUAGGCGGCCGAUUAAGUCGGGGGUGAAAGCCUGUGGCUCAACCACAGAAUUGCCUUCGAUACUGGUUGGCUUGAGACCGGAAGAGGACAGCGGAACUGCGAGUGUAGAGGUGAAAUUCGUAGAUAUUCGCAAGAACACCAGUGGCGAAGGCGGCUGUCUGGUCCGGUUCUGACGCUGAGGCGCGAAAGCGUGGGGGAGCAAACAGGAUUAGAUACCCUGGUAGUCCACGCCGUAAACGAUGAAUGCCCAGCCGUUGGCCUGCUUGCAGGUCAGUGGCGCCGCUAACGCAUUAAGCAUUCCGCCUGGGGAGUACGGUCGCAAGAUUA
rnacentral:rRNA from 1 species